rnacentral:rRNA from 1 species
UGCAGUCUGCAACUCGACUGCAUGAAGCCGGAAUCGCUAGUAAUCGCGGAUCAGAAUGCCGCGGUGGAAUACGUUCCCGGGUCUUGUACACACCGCCCGUCACACCAUGGGAGUCGGAAAUGCCCGAAGCCGGUGGCCUAACCGAUAAGGGAGGAGCCGUCGAAGGCAGGUCUGAUGACUGGGGUGAAGUCGUAACAAGGUACC